rnacentral:lncRNA from 1 species
GGCCUAGGCCUCUGACUGAGUAGAGGGGGAGGCGGCCUUUGGGGGAAAUGCAGGGUGGGCUGGGGGCUCUUCCAGUGAAGAGGAAAGUGCUCUGGAAGCAGAGAGCCCUGAGUUCAACCUGCUUCUGCUCUUUGUGGGCCGUGUGGAUUCAGGCCAGUUCGUGCAUCUCCCCGAACCUCGGUUUUCCCAGCAGAGGGAGUCCUGGCCCCCUGUGCUCCUGUGGAUGAGAAGCAUCGCCUCCGGUUACCCAGCCUUAGCGACGUGCCCAGUGCUUGAACUGGACCGUCUUCUGUAAUAAGACAGUUUCUAAAGGCCCAGCUGAGCAGCUCACCCUGGGCGACACUCCGUCAGGGCCAUGUCCCCUUAGAGCCGGGCAGCGACUGAUUCCCGAAGCAGCCGCGAGCCUUCCAUCCCGCCUCGGUGCCCCAUGCGCCAGGGCUUGGCAGGCCCUCAGCCCAGAGCCUCUCACCAGCGGGGACCCUCCUUGGCGUCGAGCAUCAGCCAGGGCCUGGGAUAGAAGAUGCGCGUCAUCACAGAUGCUGCAGGGAGAGAGGACGACAGAGAAGCGAAGAGAUAAGAACUCGAGGGAAGGUUUUCUUUCAAUUAAGAAAGGCAGUGAUUCUUCCCAUCACGAGAGUCUUGCUAGGAAUAUUGUUGCGUUGGUUUGUUAAAGAGGAAAUACGGUAUCUGCAGUGUGAACGCUGCCCGGCAGUCCCUGCCCCCCCUACCCCCAUGACCUUCCCCCCCCUCGGCUCAGAACCCGCUGCAUCCUGAAGCCUCCUGUGGGGGGAGGGGGAGCUCAGAGACCUGCCACUGGGGAGUAAAGGCAGGUCCUACACUGCCACUGGGUCCUCACAGGCCUGCUGUGGGGGUGGGGGGAUGGCUUGGGGUGUCAGAUGGGGGAGGGGGGAAGGGCUGGGCCCAUUGAGGUCUCUCAUACACACCCAGUCCACACACGUGCACAUGGGCGCACACGUGUGUGCUUCUUCUGCCUCUGCUGGACUUCCAACCAGAACCUGGAGGGCUUCUUUUGCUCCAAAUUUCAAUCCUGCUUCUUUCCUUGCUUUGUAAACAGCUAAGACCUCACCUUUGAAGCAGUGUCAGGUUCAGAGCCAAAGUCAAGGGAAUCUACAGAGACGCUUCCCAUUUAGCCUCGCCCUCACACUCAUAGCCCCCCCCCAUUAUCGACACCCCCAGAGGGGUGCCUCUGUAAUAAUGGAUGAACCCAUCUUGACUCAUAAUGGCCCCAAGUCCAUUGCUGAUCACUCCUGGUGCUGGACAUUCCAUGGGUUUGGACAAAUGUCUAAUGACACCCAUCCACCACUGUGGUGUGGUGUGGUGUGGUGUGGUGUGGUGUGGUGUGGUGUGGUGUGGUGUGGUAUGGUGUGGGGCAGAGUGUAUUCGCUGCCCUGAAUAGCCUCUAUGCUCUGCCUGUUAAUCCCCAGCGCCCCCCCCCCGCCCCCGCCCCAGCCCUUGGAGACCAUGGAUUUUUUUCACUCUCUCCUUAGUUUGGCCUUUUCUAGGACAUCACCUAGUUGGGUCACAUAGCGCGUAGCCUUUUCAGAUUGAAUUCUUUCACUCGGUCCAAUGCAUUUAUGUUUCCUCUGUGUCUUUUCAUGUGGCUGUGCCCACGUGCCCCUCCCACCAGCAGUGCACCAGAGUUCCUGUGGCUCCCCAACCUCGUCAACUUUUGGCACCGUCAGUGCUCUGGAUUUGGGCCAUUCUCACAUGUGUGCUGGUGUCUCGUUGCUGUUUUAAGGUGUACGACUGGAACAUCUUCGUACGUGUGCUCGCGGGCUGUCUGUGUGUCUUCUGUGACGAGGUAUUUUUCCAGCCGUUUCAACUCACCUGCUACUGGCUGCCAUCUUCACUCACCACCAGGCAUCUUUACCCAUCAGAGGGUGGAGGGGGUCCUGACGUGCACCCGCAGUUCUCCUGGUCCAGUCUGGGGAGCAGCCAGCCUGCCCAUGCAGUCUGGGAACGCCCAGAAGCCCAGUGUCCACUACACGCUAGCUCCUCCCUCCUUUAUCUGGGGAUCCCUAGGGCCCCUGAGUGUGGCUGCCAAUUUCCAGGACAAUGAGGCGGUGGGCCCUGCACAGCACUGGCCCACAAGCGUGGGCAGGUCCCACUGUCAGGAUGUCCAGCCACUCUCCCCUCUGCCUAGUUGGACUGAGAGUCCCUGAGGUUAGAGCCUGGCUUGCUUGUCCCCAGGCCCCAGCAUCAACACAGACAGGAACUGCUGCUGCCUUGUUGGCAGACAUUGGAGGACACGUGUGCCCAGCACAGCGGGAUCGCCCGCCCUGUGGAACAGGGUGGAGGGAAGAGGCCUGGUCUCUCGGGCACUUCACCCAAUGACUGGUAACUCCCCGCCAGCUGCCCAGAGCCUGGGAUGUGGCGGGGUGGGGGUAGGGGUUCCUCUGGGGACAUGAGGGGGCCGGAUGAGGUUGGGGUCCCAUCUCACCACUCCCCAGCCCAGCUUCAGCUGGCGGGAGAUGGACCUCUUUCCCUGUAGGGCAGGGUCCCAGAUGCCUCCCUUCUGGGCUUGGAAGGGGGCUCCCCCUCCUGGGGAGGGGCGCAUGUGUGUCUGAGCACGUGGACUUUGUUUCUGAGCAGCAGAAGUGUCCCUGGCAGGGCAGCCUGGUCAGGGCUGGGGGCCCCGGGAGCUUCCCGUCUAAGGGAAUUUGCUUGUUCUCUGCCUCUUUGCUGUGAUCAAAUGCAGCAGGGGCUAUACUUUCCCUUCUGUAGCCUUCGUGGUAGGAAUACCAACUUCAGCCCAGGGGGUAGUUUGGUUACUGAACUGCUGUGUGGUCUUGGGUCAGGUGCUUAACCUCUCUGAGCCUGGGCUAAUAACACCCAUCUCCUAAGGCUGUUCUGAGAAUCCAAUGAAUUAAUAUCCGAGAAGGCAAAGUGUCCAUAACACGAGUUAUUUCUUGUUCGGGUCUGAACACCGGGCUCGCUUGCCUUGCUGGUCCCCGAUACGCACUGAGCACAGGAGACAAGGCUGGAUGCUGAGCUCUCUGCAGAUGCAGGACUGAGCUCUGCACAGUGCAGUGACGUAGGUUCUUUGGGAAUCGAAUAUCGGCACAUGUGACACAACAGGCCAUUGUGCCCAACAGGCUGGGGCAGUGCGCAUUCCUUCUGGAUGCUUCGGAGGAAAGGAGAUGGUUCCUGGUUGGACAUAAAAAGUGGAAAGCCCGUCUCUCUUCUGAUGUGGUUGCUGCUGCCUGGUGCUGCAGAGGGGCUUGGCCUGAGCAGAAGAAAGCAGGCGUUGUGUGCUGUUCGUAUAUUGAUUGACUCAUCAAAUGAUCUGCCUCAGCGGCCUGCAUGUGUUUACAGGGUGAAAAUUAAAGCCACAGAUGUUUACUGUAUAAUAGGAUUUGAAAUCUGUUCUGGGGGGCUGGGGGGAGGUGGGGCGAGCAAGCGUGGAAACCACUGGGCCAAGAAUGAGAAAAACACUUUUGCAUGAGGGAGGAUUUGGUUCAGUAAGUAACACAUGGUGCUUGCUGUCAAAUGUUAACAAGAAACACGGGCCGUCUCUCCCUUUUGGCCGGUGUUGGCUUGUGUGUCCACCUCCCGGGCUUGCGCCCGUGCCGUGUGUUGAUGGGGCACCUUCUAAAGUGGGUUCGUUUUCUAGAGAGCUGCUUCUGAAAGGGAGCACCCCGCCUGACUGUCCAUCAUGAGCGCUGAUGCCGGCCUGGGGCCACCAGCUCCCUUCCCGCGCAUCUACUGACGGCCGUGGCCGGCCCUGCGGCCAGGACAGCCCGUCCGACUGGACCUUGAAUGGGGGCGGGGGGGGGGCCUCCUGUGCCUCCCGUCUUGACUCAGGCCACGUCCCUGCUGUCUGUUGCUUGAGGCCAGAUCUCUGCUGUCACUGUUCUCUGUGACGUGAUUUCCUUUGUCUUGCCAGAGCCUCUAAGCCGCGCAACAGAGAGAGAUUUUUUCAGGGGUCAGGGCAACAGAAACCCCCCCUUUUCUCCGUGGAGUUUCCCCCACUUCCCCCUGGCCCUGCCGGCUUUAAGAGGGUCUCAAAGUGGGAAGGUCGAAGGCCACUGGUCCAGCGGUGGCCCCUGGGAGGCCCAGGAGGGAACUUCCUUCCGGGAAACCUCUCCUCCCGGGGGCUCGAGUGCCCCCACUUCGUGUGUGUUUUCUCUUUCCUUAUGUUUUUCUCUUCAACCGGCUCUGAUUGGCUUCACCGCAGAUGAGCAUUUUCCAUUACGCGUCCUAAUGUGUUUUUUUUAAACCAAAUCUCCCUUCACAGAUUGCUGUCUUUAUAAUAUAGGAAUUAUUUCUCAGUCACUUUAAAAGUCCUGCUUCAUUAGCUUGGUGACUGUUUGGUAAUUUGCAAAGUCACUUUCACAAGUUUUAAUACUGCCCGGUUGAGAAUCACAGCCAUAAAUGUAUUCGAUCUUAAUAGUGCUAUGAUUCCGUCUGAAGUGGAAAAAAAAAAAAUGAGAAUCAGUAAUUAGCUCCGACCUCCACACAAGCCUGCUCCGUGCAGGAGACGAUGCUUUUGAUGGGAGCAGAGCACCCGGUGUCGGAGGAAUCUUCUGGUGAGGCCAGGGAGCCCUUCGUCUCAGCAAAGAUGAAGCCUUGCUCACCUCUCUCUCCAGCAUCUUCAUUUCCCCUUCUCCUUAUAAUGGCUUAAAGCCCCUCCUUCCACGUAAAGCAGCUCAUGUCUAGACGCAGCCUUCCAGGGGAACACGCCGGGCAGGCGAGAUUUCUACCCGGACUCGCUUUGCAGCCCCUGGACGUAGGCUCCCGCUCCAGCUCUGUUUUUUGAGAGGCUGCUGCCCACUGGAAAGAUGUGCUGGGUGGCUUUCCUUGCUCUUUGUUGGCUUGUUUGUUUGCUUUGGCCACGCUCACGUUCCCCUCUUUCUAUGUCAAGGCCGUCUCUGAGUUGUGCAGGGAAAACCAGCAAGGCGACAGGGCAGUGGUGUCCAGCACUUGCUCCCAGGUUUCCAGGCCCCUCCAGGGGCAGGAUGCUUCCGGCCCGGGUGCCUCUUCCUUCUGCUCAAUUACCAGCAGCCCCUCACCUCCCUGGAGGCCUCGAGCUCCUUCCAGCUGCAGAGCCCGAGAUCCACCCGUUCCCGGGAGAGGGUCUGGGUGGGCUCCAGAGAGCCUGGGAGCGCCAUGCUGCUUUGUCAUGUUUCAUUUGCCCUGAUUAAUUCGGCGUCUGUAUGAGCCAGAGGGAGGGGUGCUCCCCUCCCCUAACCUUUCACAGAUGUUUCAGGCCAAGGUUUUCUGGCAAAAUCGAUUUUGACAUUUUGAUAGGAACCCACUCGCCCUGUUCUGUAUUUCGAAUCUUUGACUCUAAGCGGUUCUGAAAACCAGCUGUGAACCUAAAUCUUGUUUGUAAAAUCUGCAUACUGCAUCCGCAGCAGAAACGGUGAGAACCCCCAGGUCAUUGCAUAGACACUGGAAGCGAGUUAGGCGGUGCGGCGGUGUUGAAUCGCGGUGGUUUGUCAGACCUCCGCCGCGAGGCGGGCGGGAUGAAUGUCUGGAGCCCGCUCCCCGUCUCUUGCAGGGUUUGG